rnacentral:rRNA from 1 species
UACGUAGGGUGCGAGCGUUAAUCGGAAUUACUGGGCGUAAAGCGUGCGCAGGCGGUUUUGUAAGCCAGAUGUGAAAGCCCCGGGCUUAACCUGGGAAUGGCAUUUGGGACUGCAAGGCUUGAGUGCGGCAGAGGAGACUGGAAUUCCUUGUGUAGCAGUGAAAUGCGUAGAUAUCAGGAGGAAUACCGAUGGCGAAGGCAAUCCCCUGGGCCUGCACUGACGCUCAUGCACGAAAGCGUGGGGAGCAAACAGG